CAGACUACCUUUCAUUUAAGAAAGAAGGCAUAUAAUUCUAAAAAAAAAAUUACUUAACAGAAAAAAUUACAUGAAGUAAAUUUCUUCUUCAAAAAACUAAAACAAAAUCUAGAAACGGAAAAUAAUCUUUCCUCCCGUGACUUCUUCCUAAAGAAGAAGAAGCGACCACACUUGUACUUUGAUACUGUAAUCAAUGAGAUUUGUUCUUGGGAGAGACCAUGACUCUCAGUUCCAACUGUCUCACCUAAUUCAAGUAGUUCCUGCGAUAAAUAAAAUUAUAUCAAUGUGAAAAAAGGUUUAAAGAAUAAAACCAAGUGAAAGAAGUCUGUUUUUCCAACUAUUACAAGGGAUUUAGAUUUUCAUUUAACCAAGCCUUUUCUACCACCAGGCGGCACAUCAUUAGCAAGUAGAAAGGGAUUUAGAGAGAAGAUAAAAGAAUAUUGUCUCAGAAUUUCUUCAAUAACUAACAUGAAAAAGGAUACUAUUAAGAAAAAGUAUUAUACUAUUAUAACGAAGGAGGACAAAAAGAGUUUGAAGACUUCUACAACUAAGUUGUUUGAUUAUAACGUGAUUAUCAGAACGACACACAUGCCAUAUAACCCCCAUCAACUAGUAAACCGUGAUAAUUUAAAUUGGAUGGUCGGCCCUAUAGUUGUUUGUUACAUUAGUGUUUCACACACCCAUCCAUUGGUUUUGAACCCUUAUUAACUUCCACGACCCUGUUAGUCUAUUUUUUAUAGGGGGGAGGCAAGGGUUAUCGAUAUCAUGCUUUCUUGCUUGUUUAAACCACACACCAAACAAACAAAUGAAAUUACACUACACUCAACGCUAAAAGGAAAGCAAAGCAAUAAACAAAUAACCCCGUAUCAAACGAUGCAAAAUACAUACCUCAAUGGAAAUCGCACUCUUAAACGAAAGUCGCCGCAAUCGAAAACGCCCCAAUCGAAAACCCUAAUCCAUCCAAAUCCCGCUUUUGCUUUCGCUAAACGGCAUUGAUAGUUGUCGUUUUGCUGUCAAAUU
rnacentral:lncRNA from 1 species